rnacentral:rRNA from 1 species
GACGGUACGGGAAGAAUAAGCACCGGCUAACUACGUGCCAGCAGCCGCGGUAAUACGUAGGGUGCGAGCGUUAUCGGAAUUACUGGGCGUAAAGCGUGCGCAGGCGGUUUGCUAAGACCGAUGUGAAAUCCCCGGGCUCAACCUGGGAACUGCAUUGGUGACUGGCAGGCUAGAGUAUGGCAGAGGGGGGUAGAAUUCCACGUGUAGCAGUGAAAUGCGUAGAGAUGUGGAGGAAUACCGAUGGCGAAGGCAGCCCCCUGGGCCAAUACUGACGCUCAUGCACGAAAGCGUGGGGAGCAAACAGGAUUAGAUACCCUGGUAGUCCACGCCCUAAACGAUGUCAACUAGUUGUUGGGGAUUCAUUUCCUUAGUAACGUAGCUAACGCGUGAAGUUGACCGCCUGGGGAGUACGGUCGCAAGAUUAAAACUCAAAGGAAUUGACGGGGACCCGCACAAGCGGUGGAUGAUGUGGAUUAAUUCGAUGCAACGCGAAAAACCUUACCUACCCUUGACAUGGUCGGAAUCCUGCUGAGAGGUGGGAGUGCUCGAAAGAGAACCGGCG